AGUGAACGCUGGCGGUAGGCCUAACACAUGCAAGUCGAACGGCAGCACAGUAAGAGCUUGCUCUUACGGGUGGCGAGUGGCGGACGGGUGAGGAAUACAUCGGGAUCUACUUUUUCGUGGGGGAUAACGUAGGGAAACUUACGCUAAUACCGCAUACGACCUACGGGUGAAAGCAGGGGAUCUUCUGACCUUGCGCGAUUGAAUGAGCCGAUGUCGGAUUAGCUAGUUGGCGGGGUAAAGGCCCACCAAGGCGACGAUCCGUAGCUGGUCUGAGAGGAUGAUCAGCCACACGGGAACUGAGACACGGUCCAGACUCCUACGGGAGGCAGCAGUGGGGAAUAUUGGACAAUGGUCGCAAGCCUGACCCAGCCAUACCGCGUGUGUGAAGAAGGCCUUCGGGUUGUAAAGCCCUUUUGUUGGGAAAGAAAAGCAGCAGGUUAAUACCCCGCUGUUCUGACGGUACCCAAAGAGUAAGCACCGGCUAACUUCGUG
rnacentral:rRNA from 1 species